AGUGCAGUGGCCGCCUCCUCUUCCGCCGCCGGGCUCGGGGCCUCGCACCGACAACAUGGAGGCUGUGAAAAUCUUCAACAGCGAGUUAUAUUCCCUGAAUGACUACAAACCACCAAUUUCUAAAGCAAAAAUGACCCAAAUUACGAAGGCAGCCAUCAAAGCUAUUAAGUUCUAUAAACAUGUGGUACAGAGUGUUGAGAAAUUCAUUCAGAAGUGUAAACCAGAAUACAAGGUACCCGGACUUUAUGUUAUUGACUCCAUCGUACGACAGUCUCGACAUCAGUUUGGUCAAGAAAAGGAUGUGUUUGCACCCAGAUUUAGUAAUAACAUCAUUAGCACUUUCCAGAAUUUAUAUCGUUGUCCUGGGGAUGACAAGAGUAAAAUCGUAAGAGUAUUAAACUUAUGGCAGAAGAAUAAUGUAUUUAAGAGUGAGAUUAUUCAGCCUCUUUUGGAUAUGGCAGCAGGGAUUCCUCCGCCAGUCGUCACCCCGGUUCUGGCCAGUACCACGGCCGCGAUGAGCAACACCCCAGGAACUCCUGUGACACCUGUUACUCCAGCCAACGUGGUCCAGGGUCUGCCUGAUCCGUGGGUGUCCCAGAUAGCAAAUACAGACACGCUUACAGCGGUGGCUCAGAUCUUGCAGAGUCCUCAAGGCCAGCAGUUUCAGCAGUUAAUACAGACUUUACAGAUACAACAGCAGAAGCCUCAGCCGUCCAUUCUGCAGGCCCUGGACGCUGGGCUCGUCGUCCAGCUGCAGGCUCUGACUGCACAGCUCACAGCUGCAGCUGCGGCAGCCAACACCCUCAAUCCCUUGGAGCAGGGGGUGUCUUUUAACAAGAAGUUGAUGGAUAGGUUUGAUUUUGGGGAAGACUCUGAACAUAGUGAAGAACCCAAAAAAGAAAUUCCAACUUCUCAACUUUCUCAUGUUUCAGAAUCUGUGAACAAUUCCAUUUUUCAUCAGAUAGCAGAGCAACUACAGCAGCAAAACCUUGAACAUCUCAGGCAGCAGCUCUUGGAACAGCAACAGCCUCAAAAGGCAACCCCUCAGGACAGUCAAGAGGGAACCUUUGGCUCGGAGCACUCUGCGUCACCGUCACAAGGGAGCAGUCAGCAGCACUUCCUUGAACCGGAAGCAAAUUUGGAUGAUUCCAUAGACAUUCAGCAGCAGGACAUGGAUAUAGAUGAAGGGCAAGAGGGAGUGGAAGAAGAGGUCUUUGAACAAGAAGCAAAGAAAGUGGCUGUUCGCUCAAGAUCAAGAACACAUUCACGCUCUCGUUCAAGAUCACCGAGAAAACGGAGGUCUCGGUCACGGUCUGGUUCUCGAAAGCGGAAACACAGAAAGCGAUCUCGCUCCCGCUCCCGAGAAAGAAAGAGGAAGUCGUCACGCUCGUACUCCAGUGAGAGGAGGGCCAGGGAGCGGGAGAAGGAGCGGCAGAAGAAGGGGCUGCCUCCGGUCAGGUCUAAAACGCUCAGUGUGUGCAGCACCACUCUCUGGGUUGGCCAGGUGGACAAGAAGGCGACGCAGCAGGACUUAACCAACCUUUUUGAAGAGUUUGGGCAGAUUGAAUCCAUUAAUAUGAUUCCUCCCCGGGGCUGUGCUUACGUCUGCAUGGUUCAUCGACAAGAUGCAUUUCGGGCGCUUCAGAAACUUAGUUCUGGGUCGUAUAAAAUUGGGUCCAAGGUCAUUAAGAUUGCUUGGGCUUUAAACAAGGGUGUAAAAACUGAAUACAAACAGUUCUGGGAUGUGGACCUUGGAGUGACAUACAUACCAUGGGAAAAAGUUAAAGUGGAUGACUUGGAAGGUUUUGCAGAAGGGGGCAUGAUUGACCAGGAAACUGUCAAUACUGAGUGGGAAACUGUGAAAAGCUCAGAACCUGUUAAAGAGACCGUCCAGACAACUCAAAGCCCACCACCAGUUGAGAAGGAGACAGUGGUCACGACCCAGGCAGAGGUUUUUCCUCCACCUGUUGCUAUGUUACAGAUUCCCGUAGCACCAGCUGUGCCUACAGUUAGUUUGGUCCCACCAGCAUUCCCUGUGUCCAUGCCGGUUCCUCCUCCUGGCUUCAGUCCAAUCCCUCCACCUCCUUUUCUACGAGCAAGUUUCAACCCUUCACAACCACCUCCUGGUUUCAUGCCGCCUCCCGUCCCACCGCCUGUUGUCCCCCCGCCCACUAUUCCACCAGUGGUACCAACACCUUUAGUGCAGCCGCCAUUAUCCAUGACCCCAGAAACUGUGAAGGAGGUCGGAUUUGGUAGCCUUGUUUUACCAGGUGGUCCUGUUGCCAGCAAUCUUGCUGCUUCCUCUCUGCCAGCUGGAAAUGUUUUUAAUCCUGCUAAACAAGCAGAGCCUGAAGAAAAAGUACCUCAUCUUAUAGACCACCAGAUUUCUUCUGGUGAAAACACCAGAUCAGUGAUUCCAAAUGAUAUUCCAAGUAGCCCUGCGAUUUUAGGACAGCCGCCAAGUAUGACAAGCAAUGCUGGAAUUCUUGGAGUUCAAAGACCAAAUGUAUCAAGUAAUCCUGAAAUUCUUGGAGUCCGGCCAUCUAACGUUUCUAGUAGUUCUGGGAUUAUUGGAGUCCAGCCACCAAAUAUUCUGAAUAACUCUGGAAUUUUGGGAAUACAGCCACCAAGUGCUUCGAGUAGUUCUGGACUUUUGGGAGUGCUACCCCCCAGUAUCCCUAACAAUUCUGGACUUGUAGGAGUACAGCCACCAAAUAUUCCAAAUACAUCUGGACUUUUAGGAACACAGCCACCAGCUGGGCCUCAAAACUUACCCCCUUUAAAUCUCUCUAGUCAAAGGAUGCCUGUAAUGCCCAUGUUAGACCUUCGUCCAGGACUAAUACCACAGGCGCCCGGACCAAGAUUUCCAUUGCUACAGCCUGGAAUUCCGCCCCAGCGAGGAAUCCCUCCCCCGUCGAUACUUGAUUCAGCUCUUCACCCACCACCCCGUGGUCCUUUUCCUCCAGGAGAUAUUUUUAGUCAGCCAGAAAGACCUUUUUUAGUUCCUGGAAGGCAAAGUAUAGACAAUAUUACUAAUCCAGAGAAAAGGAUACCGCUGGGGAAUGAUAACAUUCAGCAGGAAGGAGAUAGAGAUUACCGGUUUCCUCCUAUAGAAACCAGGGAAAGCAUGAGCAGACCUCCCCCGGUGGACGUUAGGGAGGUGGUUGGACGGCCCAUAGAUCCAAGAGAAGGUCCUGGAAGACCUCCUCUAGAUGGUAGGGAUCAUUUUGGAAGACCUCCUGUCGAUAUUAGAGAAAACCUUGUGAGGCCAGGUAUGGAUCAUCUUGGUCGAAGAGACCACUUUGGCUUUAAUCCAGAGAAACCGUGGGGGCCGAGAGAUUUUGAUGAGAGAGAGCAUCGAGUUCUGCCUGUCUUCGCUGGUCCAAAAGGCUUACAUGAAGAAAGAGGUAGAUUCCGGUCUGGAAACUAUCGUUUUGAUCCUAGAAGUGGUCCUUGGAACAGAGGAUUUGGGCAAGAAGUGCACAGAGAUUUUGAUGACCGCAGAAGACACUGGGAGAGGCAGAGGGAUAGGGAUGACAGGGAUUUUGAUUUCUGCAGAGAGAUGAAUGGAAGUCGUCUUGGAAGAGAGAGAAUUCAAAACACCUGGGUCCCCCCGCCUCAAGCUCGGGUUUUUGAUUUCUUUGAAGGGGCCACUUCUCAACGAAAAGGGGAUAACAUGCCUCAGGUCAAUGGUGAGAACGCUGAGAGACAUGCCCAACCACCGCCUUUACCCGUACAGAGUGAUCCUGAACUUUAUGAGAAACUGACAUCUUCGAGUGAAAUAAACAAGGAGAAGAGUGACACAGUUGCUGAUAUAGAAAGUGAACCAGUGGUAGAAAGCACAGAAACUGAGGGGACAUAAUCAUCACUCAGUAGAUGGUUGAGUGGCCGGGCACUGUGGGGAGCGCUAGAGAAAUUCCAUGCCGUCAUCCGUUUAGAAGCUCCGGGUGUAAUAGUAACAGAAGGCAGGAAGGCAUGGAGUCCCGGUCUGUGCCCGGUGUUGCAUGUGACUCCAUGGGACCCGGGUCUGGCGGCCAAGAGGGACUCAGCUGAAACGAAAGGCUUCAGAAGGAAGGCAAGAUGAAUGAAGUUCUGGCAGCUUCCUGUGUCCCAGGCCUUGUAGAAAUAAGUGAGACGUGCUUCAAAGUUCUAAUGUGCACCAGCCACAUCGGAUCUUGUUUCAGGAAGCGUUAAAAGGAACCCGCCGUUGCCUGUUGAGAAGGCUCUGUGCUCUCAGGCAUUGCUUCUGCUUGAAUCCAGAGGUCGCAAGCAUGCCUCCCUAUAUUACCUGUUGGAGCAGGUUUAAUUUUAUAAAUUUGAAACACAAACUCUAUGAGUUUCUAGUUCAUAAUUGUUCUUUUGGAGGAUCCACUCAGAUGAACAGUAUUGCGUCCGUAAGAGAUACACAAUUCCACUGGACCAGAACUGAUGGGAAUGUGAGUGGCGCCAGACUCCAUCCGUAUCUGCACCCAGUACCAGUGAUGGAGAGGACAGUUUGCCAGGAGACCCCUCAAAGGAAAGAAGGCACGUUGUGUUGGAACUGCCUACAGAUUCCUGGAACUGUAGGUUUAGGAAGCCGAGGCUUUUUUUUUUAACACAACAUGCAUAGACUAUAGUUCUUGACUGGAGGCUUUCUUCCAUUUUUAUUAGUCAUCUCCUUGGAUAGUCUCAGAUAUUGAAAGUCUUAAGCUUUCACUGAAAAAAACGCAGCUUUGAGACAAUGCAGGUUUGCUGCAGUCUUCUGGGUGAGUCACUCCAGCGUCACACUCCAUGUCCUCGUGGGACACACAGCAGGACCAGGUGGUAGGAGAGAAGUGGGGGCAGACGAGAACGGCAGAACGGGCAUAUUGCAUUGCGUUAUAAACAUACUUUAUAAGUACAUUUCUUACUGGCUUCUUAUUCAGGCACAGGUUGUAAAACUUUGCUCUAAGUAUUCAGAUCAGGAUUUGUGCUUGGGAAAUUACCAGUGUCCACAAUACCUGCAGGGAAAAAACUCAAGUCUGAGCACUCUUUGUACCUAAAAGAAUAUUUUUGUCAUUCUUGUUUGUUUUGGCUCUGUCACAGAUUAAAAGUGCUUGGAAUGCUGUAGUCUGUGGUCCCUUGAAAUUCCAUCAGUGAGAACCUAACACGUUCACAGUACGCUGUCACUUUGGCCAUUCAUAAUAAAAAUUGAAACUAACUUUGA